ensembl:processed_transcript
ACAGUUUCCUGUCGCGUGGAUGUGUUUCCUCUCUCUGGCCAUUGCCAUCCGCCCAAAUCUACAGACAUCCCGCAUGUUCCCGGGCUCGUCUCCCCAAUACAGGGCACCUAGGCUGUAGACUGCGCAGCCCUCCUGGAGACAGAUGGAAGCUCCUUGGGUCGACAGAUUACAGCUUCUGGAACCCCCUACUCCCUUCAACUCCGAGAUGGACACCCACUGUCCAGGGAGAGGAUGCCUGGAAAUAACAGCUGGGAUCUACAGUGGCCAAAGAGUUGUCUCCGUCUUGCUACAUCUACAAACUGGUGCUCCUGAGUGAGGAUUGUGCCCUGGGAUGGGGGAUUCAGUUUCUUCAUUUAUAGUUGGAAGUGUGAAGGUAAGGUGAAGCUGGGUUCUUUGAGGUGUGCCUGCUUGUUGCUGUACCCACUUGGGAUCUGUGUCUUGUGUGUCCUGUGUUCCCACUGUCGCUUCUGUACCCCUCUGCUUUACUCUGGUGGGUGGAGAGCAGAAUGGAAAGGAGCCAGAAGAUUUUGGGGGUCAUAUGCACCAUCCAGAUUUCAGCCACUGCUCUCUGCUGGCUUCCGGGCCUUGUCUGGUUCUUGAUUUCCUCAUCUGAAAAAUGGGACUACCUCUGUGACAUAAGAGUCCUGUCACCUCAGUUCUGCCAGCUGGGCAGGUUGCAUUGAUCUAAGACAGCAAGUGCUGAGCCUACUGCAGGUCUCAUGGCCAGUGCUUAUUAGAACUGUCACCUCCUCCCGGCCAGUCUUCCGAGCUCUCCUUAAGGAACGCUGUUGCUCAGUUAGGAGCAGCCUCUUUCCUUUGUUGGCUAUCUGGCUGUUGCCUAUCUGUCCGUCUCUUUCCAGUUUAACCAUUAACCAGCUCUUGGCCAUAGUCUUCCUUGCCCUCUGCCCCUGUAUUCGAAAGUGAUUGUGGGCUGCCUGUGCCCUGGUCAUUGAUACUGCAGGGAGAGGAUUCGGAAAGCCUUUCCCCGUGUUUGGAGGAUCCACACUCGUCCUUGCCAAACCCUGGUGCUUUCCCACAUUGCCCGCUGCCUGCCAUUCUGGCACUUCUGGGAAGCAGUGGUAGGGAGCUCAGACGGUGGCUGCUUCCUUCAGAUCCUUUCUCAGCCUCCACACCCAGUUGUCACUUCUUCGGGACACUUGAGAACGUGUAGAAAAUGUCCCGUUGCUUGACUGCUAGAAUGCAUCUUGCCAAGUGUUCUGUUAGUCAAGAGGCAGGGUUCUGACUGAACAAAUGAACGAUCAAGGGGCAGUCACUUUCUGUAAGGCAUUGUCGUGUGUAAACUGGGUAAACAGCCUGACAGGGAGGCCCAGGAGGGAGCAAAUUUGCCGUUUUGCCUCCUUGAAUUCUUCCCUCAUGGCCUGCUUUUGACUCUUGCCUUCGGUAGCCACUUCGGAAGCGUUUUCCUCUCCACUCUGUGACAACAGGCAAGAGUGAGGGUCCAACAAUACAGAGGAAGUAACGUGUCGCUGCUACUCUUCCAUGCCCAGUGCCAGGAGCGACGGUACACUCCAGAGUGUUGUGCCCUGAUGGGCCUUUGAGCGGCCAGUGCAGUGGAUCAUCAGCCCUGUCUCCCAAGAGCUCCAAUCUCUUCUCUGGAGAGGAAGGGAGUCCACUGGCAGCUCAGGAGGCCAUAGCAGGUAAGUCAUACACUUGCUACUGUUCAGAGGCCUCAUCAAGAGAUUGGAGUUUGAGAGAAUGUAAGGAUGGCUCUGUCCAGUCUGGAGCCCCAGCCUUUGAGUCCCUGGAGUUUCGUGUAGUAUUUUCUGCCUCUUUGGUGGCACUUUGGGGGCGGGGAGGAUGAGUGGAGAGUGCUGUGUGGAUCCUCCCACCUAGGUCAAGAAUGGGUAAGUGUGAGGCCUUUCCAGUGUUAGUUAGUGAAUUGUAAGGUCAAGGGAGUGGACGUAGGCAUUGAAGACACCUGUAUAUGCCACGGUCUCCCUCUUUUUGUCAUUGUGUUGGGUAGCAGUGACUUGUUAGCAGUGGAGGGAAAAGUCAUAGUUGGAUGAUGGAGAGUUAGGGUGGUCCGGAGCACCUAUCUGCUCUGGCUCUUUGAGGCCCCUCCCUUCCCGUUCAUUCUUCUGCCAGUGGCAGAAGUGCACCCACGUGUGUGCCCUGGAAAGCAGGGCCUCAGCCUAGACCUCAGGUGACUAGCUGUUACCUAGCUAGUCCCCAGAUUCCACCUUAAUUAAGCAGCCUUACCUGUUUUGAUCUUCCAUUUCCUGACUUGGAAAACUAAAGCUAAGACAAAGGUUUUUCAGGACUGACUCCCCCUUAUUCUUGGCAGAUUGUGGGGCUCUAUGCAGUUGAUGUUAGUUAACCACUGGAUCCACGUGUUCACCGUGGCUUGCGCCCCUGCAUCCGAAAGUGAUCUUGGCUGCCGUGCCCCGGUCAUUGGUAGUGCAGGGAAAGGAUGCGGAAAGACGGGCUCUGAGCUCGGGGUGUCUGGCCUGGAGCUUUCCUACACUUGUGUCUUUCUCUGCAGCCUUACGGAAGUGUGGGUGGCGCUUUCUGGAAGCUGCACGAGUCAGUGCUGGGUCUUUGCAACUUGGUGUUCUGUUUCCAGAAACUUGGGGUGUUUGCAUGUGCUAGGUCAGCACAGAUUUCCAAAGGAUCCCUAGAGGGGUUCCCUAACUUUUCACAUAGGAGCAGAAGGUAGAUGACAAGAGGAGAGGUGGGGCUGGACUGAGGGGAGCUGUGUGUGCCAGGGUGGGGUGGGGCGGGGCGUGUAACAGCCCUUAAGCGUGUGUUGAGAGAAGGAGCUCCCUGGUACAGAGUGUGCAGCUCCCUUCCCAGCCUGUAGUCCCCGUGGCCCAAUGAGUUUUUGUAUCACUUGUGAGCCACUGGUCUUAAAAUGCAUGGUUUGCAGACCAAAAUGCAGUCCAACAUUUUUUGUUUCAUGUGUCUAUGUGAAUGCACAUAUGUAUGUAUGUCAUGUGUGCCUGGUGCCUGUGAAGAGUUUAUUGGGGGCUAAGAAUUUCAGAGGGUGACUCUUCAGGAUCUAUAUGGCUUCAGGCACGGCCAUGUUGGACAGUGGCUGGGAGCUCACAUACGUGAUAGGACCACCAUGCAGGGAGCUAACUGAAUGGCGUGGGCUUUUGGAACCUCAAAGCUCUCCUACCCCACCCCCAUGAUAACCUCCACUAACAAGGCCAUACUUCCUAAUGGUCCCAAGCAGUUCUACCAACUAGGGACCAAAUAUUCAAGUAUAUGAGCCUAUAGGCGGAGGAACUUCCACACAGAUCCAAACUUUUAACAAAACAAAAAGCAGGAAAGCCAACUUUAUCGGAAGUUACAAUGUAAUCAGUGUCAGAAGGAAGAGAAUGGAAGUGGGAGACUGAGGGGGGUAUGCUGAGGAUAUGGGAAGUGGGAGAUUGUGGGGGGGGGGACGGACGACUGAGGGUGUGGCUUUCAGUUGAGCCCAGCAUGGGAGGAGAAAGGGGGCUCUGGGAAGAAGCUGCUGCAGCCACCUUGUGUUCCCCCCGCCCCCAGCUAAUAGCUGUGUCUUGGUUCCUGGUGAGAUCUUGGUUGACUCGGGGGUCCUGAGUGUGGCUUGUCUCUGCAGGAUUGUCACGUGUGCUCAACAGUCCUCCUCGGCUUUCCAGAAGAGGCUGGAACAGGGCCCUUGAAGAUGUUUGUGGACAUCAGAGGGCCAAAGACGACACAAAGUGAAACUGGAGACACCGCCCCCCCCCCCCUGGCAUCAUGAAACUGCCGAUGUUACUGGCUCAUGCAAAGGCUGUGUUCUGUCCCUGUGACCAUCAGCCAGUGCCUGGAAAGACUGGUGACAAGAACUUGUUGCCAACUUCCUAUUACCUCCCUAACAGUUGUGCAAUAAACCCCAUAGGUU